AAAGGACGAGAAAGGGCAAUGGUGGGGGGGUAGUGUAUGGAACGUACAAAAGGAAAAAAAAAAGUGGACCCUGGAACUCGACCGACACAGCGUGUGCGGGCGCGUUCGGGAACUUGUGCAAUUCUCAUUGUCAGUCGUUGCACGACAGCGAGGAGAUAGUCGACUGAGGUCUCUGUGUGAAAAAUUAGAUUCUCAUUUCCGAAAUGUCAACUGCAUCUCUCCAUCUGAUCAUCGCUUUCUAUAACUCGUCAAUGGACGAAGCGGAUGGUCUCCGACUCGCGGCCACGCGUCGAUAUCAAAUCGAGAGAGAAAUCUAUAAAAGGGAAGGAGAGAGAGCGUCGAUGGUAUACAAUCCGUACAUGGCGCCAAAAAUAGGAAAGAAUAAAAGAAAAUGAAAUAAA